rnacentral:lncRNA from 1 species
CCUUUUUUGAAUAUAUUUUCUCUAUUCCUUCCUUUUGAUGGGAUCAAUUUUACAUUUUUAGCUUCCUUCUUUAUUGCUUAUUGUUUUACUCCCCCUCAAUAUAGCAAUCAUAAAAAAAAAAUAUAUCAAUUUGCUUAUUAAAAAGAUAUUGCUAUUCAAGUAUUUCAGAAUUUAAAAGUAACUCCAUUCGAUCAGAGAUAUUCAUU